ensembl:snRNA U6 U6 spliceosomal RNA
GUGUUCGCUUUGGCAGCACAUAUAAUAAAAUUGGAAUGCUACAGAGAAGAUUAGCAUGGUCCCUGCCCAAGGGUGACAUGCAAAUUCAUGAAGUGUUCCAUAUUUUU